UAGGGAAUCUUCGGCAAUGGACGGAAGUCUGACCGAGCAACGCCGCGUGAGUGAAGAAGGUUUUCGGAUCGUAAAGCUCUGUUGUUAGAGUAGAACGUUGGUAGGAGUGGAAAAUCUACCAAGUGACGGUAACUAACCAGAAAGGGACGGCUAACUACGUGCCAGCAGCCGCGGUAAUACGUAGGUCCCGAGCGUUGUCCGGAUUUAUUGGUCGUAAAGCGAGCGCAGGCGGUUCUUUAAGUCUGAAGUUAAAGGCAGUGGCUUAACCAUUGUACGCUUUGGAAACUGGAGGACUGGAGUGCAGAAGGGGAGAGUGGAAUUCCAUGUGUAGCGGUGAAAUGCGUAGAUAUAUGGAGGAACACCGGUGGCGAAAGCGGCUCUCUGGUCUGUAACUGACGCGGAGGCUCGAAAGCGUGGGGAGCAAACAGG
rnacentral:rRNA from 1 species